AACGCACAUGGCACCCCUUGGGGUAUGCUUGUCUCAGUGUGAUAUCCUCUCACAAAGGGCUCCGCCUUUUCGUGGUAUCUGAGCCCCACGGCGCCUCCUGCGCGCCGCGUGGCUUGAAGUGUGGUUUUCAGAGACCCUGGUGCAGUUGGCCCACCCAUUCCUUGGGGUGGCAAUGCAGCGCGGUGUGGUAGGUUCCCCUCGUGGGAUACUCAAAACCCCCGUGACCUGUCUUGCUGCUACUCACAAACUGAGGGAUACUAAAGGGUGCGUUGGCUCCCAAUCGUGGUUAGUCUGAGGGGGCGCGUAUCUGCGCUUCCGAAACGGGCAGUUUUCUGCCCACCCCCCCUCAAAAAUUUACCUGAGAUCAAGUAAGAGAACCCGCUGAAUUUAA
rnacentral:misc_RNA from 1 species